ensembl:lncRNA
CUGAUUUCUGAGGCUGAACACAGGAGCAGAGAGGGCCAGCGUGUAGAGGGAGGAUGUUUUCUUCUCUUGCUCUGGAAUUUUAAUCGGGCCACCCUAAUAAUCAUGACGCCAAUGAAACUACACAGAUGGAGGCGUGCCUGAGGUCAGGCAACUUGCGCGGGGUCACAGUCAUCUCUGCCAUCCUGGGAGUUCUAGGAAGCAUGUCAGGGGUAAGGUCUUGAGCAUCCCAUGCAGACAGGCCUGGAGCAGUCCUGCAUUCGCUGAUGCCUGGACCAGCUUGGACCCUCAAGAGGCAUCCCUGAGGCCCGGACAGUAAAUUCCACUCUGGGGAACCCGGAAGAAAGGAUGGAGACAAGGAAGCGAGACUGGAGUUCUGGAAAGGCUGCUAUGGCUCUCAAGACGUCCCGAGACCCUGAACGCCAUCUCUCGAGUCCCGCCCCCAAGGGAUCAGCUCCAAGGCCCUGCGUCUGGAAGCUGCUUUGCAUCUCUGGCUCACUGCAUCCCAGCCUCUCACUUCUUCCUUGUCUGCGUCCAGGCCCCGGAGUCAGCGUGGCACAGCGUGGCUGGAGCUCUGCCAGUGGGGGAGGAGGACUGGGC